UUAUAGGUCUUCUUAUAGCUGCUGCCGGUGGACCAUUAAACUCUUGUUAUUUUAUGUAAUCUGAGCGUCUUAUUUUAAUAAGUCAAAACUUUCAACAACGGAUCUCUUGGUUCUGGCAUCGAUGAAGAACGCAGCGAAAUGCGAUAAGUAAUGUGAAUUGCAGAAUUCAGUGAAUCAUCGAAUCUUUGAACGCACAUUGCGCCCAUUAGUAUUCUAGUGGGCAUGCCUGUUCGAGCGUCAUUUCAACCCUUAAGCCUAGCUUAGUGUUGGGAAUCUACUUCUCUUAGGAGUUGUAGUUCCUGAAAUACAACGGCGGAUUUGUAGUAUCCUCUGAGCGUAGUAAUUUUUUUCUCGCUUUUGUUAGGUGCUAUAACUCCCAGCCGCUAAACCCCCAAUUUUUUGUGGUUGACCUCGGAUCAGGUAGGAAUACCCGCUGAACUUAAGCAUAUCAAUAAGCGGAGGAAAAGAAACCAACAGGGAUUGCCUUAGUAACGGCGAGUGAAGCGGCAACAGCUCAAAUUUGAAAUCUGGCCCUUGGGUCCGAAUUGUAAUUUGUAGAGGAUGAUUUUGGUGCGGUAUCUUCCGAGUUCCUUGGAACAGGACGCCUUAGAGGGUGAGAGCCCCGUACGGUUGAAUGCCUAGCCUCUGUAAAUCUCCUUCGACGAGUCGAGUAGUUUGGGAAUGCUGCUCUAAAUGGGAGGUAAAUUUCUUCUAAAGCUAAAUAUUGGCCAGAGACCGAUAGCGCACAAGUAGAGUGAUCGAAAGAUGAAAAGCACUUUGAAAAGAGGGUUAAAUAGCACGUGAAAUUGUUGAAAGGGAAGGAUUUGUGACCAGACUUUUUCUGGGCGGAUCAUCCGGGGUUCUCUCCGGUGCACUUCGCCCAGUAAAGGCCAGCAUCGGUUUUCGGCGUGGGAUAAAAGCAGUAGG
rnacentral:rRNA from 1 species